GUUGGGAAUAUUGGACAAUGGGCGAAAGCCUGAUCCAGCCAUGCCGCGUGUGUGAAGAAGGUCUUCGGAUUGUAAAGCACUUUAAGUUGGUAGGAAGGGCAGUAAGUUAAUACCUUGCUGUUUUGACGUUACCGACAGAAUAAGCACCUGCUAACUUCGUGCCAGCAGCCGCGGUAAUACGAAGGGUGCAAGCGUUAAUCGGAAUUACUGGGCGUAAAGCGCGCGUAGGUGGUUUUGUAAGUUGGAGGUGAAAUCCCCGGGCUCAGCCUGGGAACUGCCUCCAAAACUGCAUGACUAGAGUACGGUAGAGGGUAGUGGAAUUGCCUGUGUAGCGGUGAAAUGCGUAGAUAUAGGAAGGAACACCAGUGGCGAAGGCGACUACCUGGACUGAUACUGACACUGAGGUGCGAAAGCGUGGGGAGCAAACAGGAUUAGAAACCCUGGUAGUCC
rnacentral:rRNA from 1 species